GGGGUUGUUGCUCAGUGGUAGAGUGCUUACCUAGCAUGUGCGAGACCCUGGGUUUGAUCCUCAGCACCACA
rnacentral:tRNA from 1 species